CAGUAGCCGCGGUAACACGAGGGGGGCAAGCGUUGUUCGGAAUUAUUGGGCGUAAAGGGUGCGUAGGCGGCUUGACAAGUCUUGUGUGAAAUCUAUGGGCUCAACCCAUAGUCUGCACGGGAAACUGUCGGGCUUGAGAAUGGGAGAGGUGAGUGGAAUUUCCGGUGUAGCGGUGAAAUGCGUAGAUAUCGGAAGGAACACCUGUGGCGAAAGCGGCUCACUGGACCAUUUCUGACGCUGAUGCACGGAAGCUAGGGGAGCAAACAGGAUUAGAUACCCCCGUAGUCCCUGUCUCUUAUAC
rnacentral:rRNA from 1 species